AUGCGCAAGAGAGGAACCAUGGUCGUUCCGGCAGGUGCGCCGGACUCAUAUCCUCCGUCCAACGGGCCGGCAGCGUCGCCGAGCGACACGAACUCGUACGAGUUCACCGGGUACAAAUCGUGCUUCACGUACGACGAGCUGGUGGGGAUCACGGGCGGGUUCUCGGCGCAGAACGUGAUCGGCGAAGGCGGGUUCGGGAAGGUGUACAUGGGCUCGCUGGGCGACGGGCGGCGCGUGGCGGUGAAGCAGCUCAAGGUGGGAGGCGGGCAGGGGGAGAAGGAGUUCCGCGCCGAGGUGGACAUCAUCAGCCGCAUCCACCACCGCCACCUGGUGACGCUGGUCGGGUACUGCGUCACUGAGAACCACCGCCUCCUCGUCUACGAGUUCGUCUCCAACGACACGCUCGAGCACCACCUGCACGGAGAAGGGCUUCCGGUGAUGGACUGGCCGAAGCGGAUGAAGAUUGCGAUCGGAUCAGCCCGUGGAUUGACCUACUUGCACGAAGACUGCCAUCCUAGGAUCAUACAUCGGGAUAUCAAGUCAGCCAACAUUCUUCUGGACAAGGCCUUCGAGGCAAAGGUUGCAGAUUUCGGUGUUGCUAAGCUUACCAACGAUUCUAUGACUCAUGUCUCCACGCGCGUCAUGGGCACAUUCGGGUACAUGGCGCCGGAGUACGCAUCAAGCGGGAAGCUGACGGACAGAUCCGACGUCUUUUCGUUUGGGGUGGUGCUCUUGGAGCUUAUCACCGGGCGGAAACCUGUAGAUUCGUCUCAACCCCUAGGAGAAGAAAGCUUAGUUGAAUGGGCUCGGCCUCUCCUGGUGGAUGCGCUGGAGACGGACGACUUCAGGGAAAUCGCCGACCCUUCCCUAGAGUGCAGGUACUCCAAGAUCGAGAUGCGGAGGAUGGUGGAGGCGGCCGCCGCUUGCAUUCGCCACUCCGUCACCAAGAGACCGAGGAUGGUGCAGGUGUGGCGAUCGCUGGACGUGGACGGCGGCUCGACGGACCUGACCAACGGCGUCAAGCUCGGGCACAGCACCGCGUACGACUCAGGGCAGUACUCGGCGGACAUCGAGCUCUUCCGGCGGAUGGGGUUCGAGGACGACCUCGACACAGCCGAGUACGGCUUGUCCGACGAGGGCGAGCCGGGGCCUGGUUCCGGGAGGCAAAGGCAACAACGGACAGCAGCUGGACGGUGA
rnacentral:rRNA from 1 species